rnacentral:rRNA from 1 species
UACGGGGGGGGUGAAGCGUUGUUCGGAAUUACUGGGCGUAAAGGGCUCGUAGGCGGCCAACUAAGUCAUACGUGAAAUCCCUCAGCUUAACUGGGGAACUGCGUGUGAUACUGGAUGGCUUGGAUUUGGGAGAGGGAUGCGGAAUUCCAGGUGUAGCGGUGAAAUGCGUAGAUAUCAAGAGGAACACCUGAGGUGAAGACGGGUUGCUGGGCUGACACUAACGCUGAGGCGCGAAAGCUAGGGUAGCAAACGGG